UACGGAUGGUCUACACGAAGUCCCUCAGACCGAUCAGCCCUCCGCGAGAGUGCUAGCUCGUGUAGUCGGCUUCUGAUGACAGAUCUGACUUGAUCUCCUUCUUCGAUCACCUCAAACCUUUCUGAUGUCAAAGAUGGAUCAGAGAAGGAUGCUAGAUGAUAGAAAAAAUUUAGAUGAAGACUCUCGUCUCUUUGAUUUUUUUCUCACCCAAAAAUCUAGAACAAUUCUAGGUCUCUCACCCAAGAGGAGAACGGUCUCCUCUUUUGUUCACGCCA
rnacentral:lncRNA from 1 species